rnacentral:rRNA from 1 species
UACGGGGGGGGCAAGCGUUGUUCGGAAUUACUGGGCGUAAAGGGCUUGUAGGUGGCCAACUAAGUCAGACGUGAAAUCCCUCGGCUUAACCGGGGAACUGCGUCUGAUACUGGAUGGCUUGAGUGUGGGAGAGGGAUGCGGAAUUCCAGGUGUAGCGGUGAAAUGCGUAGAGAUGUGGAGGAACACCAGUGGCGAAGGCGGCUUUUUGGUCUGUAACUGACGCUGAGGCGCGAAAGCGUGGGGAGCAAACAGG